rnacentral:misc_RNA from 1 species
UCCGGUUUAGACCGGCGGGCUCCGAAGAGAAGGUCACAUCUCUGCGACCGGUCCCGGACAUGUCAAGGGCUGGUAAGGUUCUGCGCGUUGCGUCGAAUUAAACCACAUGCUCCACCGCUUGUGCGGGCCCCCGUCAAUUCCUUUGAGUUUUAAUCUUGCGACCGUACUCCCCAGGCGGAAUGCUUAAAGCGUUAGCUGCGCCACUAGUGAGUAAACCCACUAACGGCUGGCAUUCAUCGUUUACGGCGUGGACUAC